CAGUAGCCGCGGUAAUACGAAGGGUGCAAGCGUUAAUCGGAAUUACUGGGCGUAAAGCGUGCGUAGGCGGUUUGUUAAGUCCGUUGUGAAAGCCCUGGGCUCAACCUGGGAAUUGCAGUGGAUACUGGGUCACUAGAGUGUGGUAGAGGAUAGUGGAACUUCCGGUGUAGCAGUGAAAUGCGUAGAGAUCGGAAGGAACAUCUGUGGCGAAGGCGACUAUCUGGGCCAACACUGACACUGAGGCACGAAAGCGUGGGGAGCAAACAGGAUUAGAUACCCCGGUAGUCCCUGUCUCUUAACC
rnacentral:rRNA from 1 species